UUUAUAUGUGAAUAAUGACUUUGUGGUACUUAAGGCCACAAUCUCAGGGGAAUAAACAACAGUUUCAACUUCUCUUCCUGCUCAACUGUUGCAACCAAAAUCAUGCUGCAAUUUGUGACUUAAAAAAAAGGUAUUCCACUAAAGUAAAAACAAACCUAGAAAGUACUGAGCUCUUACGUUCCCUCUCUGAUGGUCAUUCUGGUAAGCAGUACAUCUUACUUGACAGAAGUUUAAAAUUUAAGUAUGCAAAAAGUCAGUCCUAUAAUCCAAAAUUUAUAUAGCAUUACAGUUUACAAACAUUUGCCUACAAGGACAUAAAAUCCCUCCUCUAAAACCAAAAACUAAUGGCUGAGCCCCAUAUCAACAUUCUGCCAACUGUUCUAGCUGUGCUUUCUGCAAAGACAGAAAGCACUCACAUGCAAACAGAGAGCUGUGCCAGCCAGCUCACACAGCAAUCAUCAUCUGACGGCACUACCUUUUGGUAGCUGUAAGUCCUUCUCAGAAAGGUAAUGAUUCUGGAGCACCUGCCACCUCCCAGCCUUCUCAGAGAUCAGUGCAGAGCAGAGCCCCAGCUCGCUCCAGAGCCAGCUGCAUAACUGUGUCAGGUCAGCACCAAGCCCAGCAAUUAAACUUGGCCUUUUUAGUGCAGGGUUCUGGAUCCUGAGAGCAGUGAACCCAAGGCACCACACAGCACAGCACUGAAAGCACACUCAGUGUUAGCCUGUAGAUCUCUGUACAGUACUCCACAGCAGCACAAGGCAAGCCCAUCAGACAUGCUCUGAUUCUGCAAGUUAGCACUGACCAUUUUCAUGAAGCUCCUUUGGUAGCAUCAGAGUCCAUCACAUAUUCAGAAUCUGGGAGGAUUUUAAAAUGCGGCAUUCAGUUUGAAGGAAGAGAAAUGUUUAUCUGUCUACAGCACUGGAGCUUAUGCAGCCAGGACACGUAAAAUAAAAAAGUCAAUGUUACUAA